AGUAAGCAGGUUCGAGUGGGUGUAGGCCGCAGUAGCUAUCCAGAGAUGAAGGGACUUGCACAAGAUAGAUUAAUACGGAGAGCUGCAUCAAACCAGCCUUCGGACUGAAGACAACGACAGCAGUCUUUUUUAUGCUCUGUUCCACGUUGGAGAGCUGACUGCUUUGAUUCACUCUGCAACAACUUCCUUUCUUGAGUCAACCUGUCUUCAUCUCAGAGUAGACUUAUACUCAACAUCUUCAAUUAUUUGUGGGAUGUAUUUCAAUGUGUGUUCCCCUACAGUUUUUACUCUCUGCAACUCCUUCUAGUAUCACAGAGGCUAUUAGCUGAUAUCUUGACGCAUGCCCUAUCAUCCUGUCCGUUCUUGGUUUUUUCAUAUGAUUCUUUCUCCACCAGUUCUGUGGAGGACAGCUUCUUUUCUUAUCAUUUCAGUCCAGCCAAUUUUCAACAUCCUACUGUAACACCACAUCUAAAAUGCUUUAGUCCUCUUCCCUUAGUCCAAGAUUCACACCCGUAUUAUACUGCACUUCAGGCUUCCAUUUCCAGAGAUUUCUUCCUCAAAUUAUGGCCUGUGUUUGAUACCAGUAGACUUCUUUUGGCCAGAAUCACCCUCUUGCCUGUGCUAGUUUGCUUCUUGCAUCCACAGCUCCUUCAAAUUUCUUUGAAGAAGUAAUUAUUCUUCACUGGGCUGGUUUGUACUAGAAACCAUAGUUUUAUUUCAUUGGCAGUUAUCUAAUUUUGUAUUUUAAUUUUAAUUAUAAAUCAAGUUGUUGCUGAACUGAAUUAUGGAAGUUAUGUGCAGGUUCAGACAAACAAGAAAUAGUUAAACACCAUCCCCAGUUAGUUACAUCACACAAAAUUUGUUUUAUAUGCUUCUGUUUGUCAGCAUGGCAUGGUCUGCUUUGCUUAACAUAUUUUUUAUUACUUACAAAUAGUGGGAAGUCCAGGAUGGAAUAACAACAGUAUUACAGAGAGGACACAUUGCUGCUUACCAUAUAGAGGAGGCAGUGAUUUGCAAGCAGGCACAGUGAAAUGACCGCUAUAUAUUUAACUGUUUGGCCAAAAGGCCUUCAUCUUUUUGGCCAAAAGCGUAAAUGUACUGCUGUCUUUUUGUUCCGCCUAUCUGCAACUCAGAGUUACCUCUGUAUGGUAAGUAGCGAUCUGUCCUGUUCAUAAUAUUGUUGUUAUUAUUUGCACUAAGUGCUUAUGACACACUAUGUGUGUUCUCAAUAUUUUGUUGGCAAAGCUUUUUUUCGUUUUCCAAUGCUGCAGUCACUUGUUUGCACACCACAUGAGCUGUAUAAGCAUCUUUAUUUCCUACUAUUGUCAGCUUUGUUAUGCAUUUAUAUGUUGUUUGUGGUCGGUGACUAUUUUUGACUGUGUGUUAAUAAUUAUUUCCUGUCUGUGGCCAAAUUCAAUGAGUUGUUGCUUAUAUAUGUUUGGUAUUUGCCAGUGGUUUACUGUCUGCUAUGCCAUUUUGGAUACUAUAAUCCUCUUGCAUUAUCGUAAAUAUUUCUUCUGAUAGUUUUCAUGUCAUUGUUCUGUUUUGAAUUAUGGUAUUUAUUGUUUGUUGUUCUUCAUAGAGGCCUUGUUUUGCUAGAAUGUUUGUUACUCCAUGUGUGAGUUUAUGUGUGUAAUGUCACUGUGUAUUGUGUUCCUUUUUGUGGGAUGUUUUUAUUGUGCGCCUCCAGGAAAAUUGUUGUAGUUGUGGCUCCAAGAGACUGGACCGAGGCUUGUUCAGGUCAGUGAUAGCGGACAACAAGCAGGACUUAAGCCAGAAAGAUUAGACCCAACUCAUAGAGUUUGCAGAGUCUGAGGGAACUGUUAGUGAACUAUUUUUCUGGAAUGUUUAUGGAAGAAACUUCUUUUGUCAGAUGUACAAUUUUUAGGAGUGGAAAUGAGGGUAUGACUCAAGAGUGACACGAAUUGCUAACUAAUAAUUUGAUUGGCCAGACAAAGAACCUGAAAUGCCGAAUAAAACAUAAGGACAGACCAAGCUGAAAUUUUUGCAGAAUUGCAGGGCAGAGGUUAGACUUGGGUAUACUCCUCCUGUGGCGCCCUUUGCUGGUAUGACUGAAGGGAGGUUGCAGAAGGUGGCUCAGCACUUGGGUUGUGGGUGUGGGUGACCGUCGGCUGGAGUCGCUGCUGCUACUGCUCGGACCAGCCCUGCCUGGCAGCAGCCAUCACACGUGUGCAGUCUCGUCGGCCACGCACCUCCUCGUAAUAUUCACAAAAUCAUUCCAGAUUAUCGUUUAUACGCAAGAAGAGGAGACGGAAUUAUCUUAAUGACAGGAGCGGCUUCAAAAAUUUCAACAUUGGAUCAUCUACUGUUUAGAAAGAUUUACAGUGUUUUGUUUUAAAACAACUGAUAUGUCCAGCUCAGUUCCACUUGGAUCACUUACGUCCUGGUCCUCUCCUGUCUUCAGGAAAAGCAGAAGGUGCUAGAAAGUCGUCGUGCAGCAGUGUGAGAUGGCCACCCGACACACUUAUGUACAUUAUCACAAGUAUACGUCUCGGAGCCUGCAGUGAUCUGUGCUGCACCUUGGAGUUCCUUCUGUGUUGAAGUUUCACGGUAUUGGGCUUCUGAAGAAUGGGACGCACUGAAGAAGUGAGUGUUGUUAGUCAGACUUUGAACAGCAAGCUCGUAAUUGCACAAUUGUUAAACUGGACAGUUGUUAAUAUGGACAAUUGUUAAAUCUGGCUACACAGUUUAUAAAUUCAUUGCUUGUGUGAAGUGUUUUCCUUCUUAUUUAUUUCAAUAGUGAUCGAUUACUGUGAGGUAAGACUGACUUCAGAGUGAGAUUCCAAUCAACGAAUUUCAACUCCACUGUCAAGAAAUUUGACAGAAACCCUUGCAAGUCGCGACAGUCAGUUUCAAGCCUGUAAUCAGUAUGGAAGUAGUAGUUUGGUAGAAGAGGGCCUAAUAUAAUUAUUGCAAGAAACUAGAUACUCGAGACUACAAGGUACCCGCACCUUGCAAGCAGCGACCACAUUAUGUGCUACAGGGGCAUUGCGUGGCGACACGAGACUGCCACCCGACGUGCUUAUGACAUCAGAAGUGUAUGUCUCGGAAUCUGCAGUGCCGUGUGCUGCACCAUUGGGUUCUUCAGUGGAAAGUACUGUGGUUUGGGCUUCCCAAGAAUGUAGAGCUUCUCUGAGGCAUUAUGAAACACAGAAGCAGCGAGCAAUGUUAAUCAGACUUUGAAUCGCAAGCACAUAACUGGGAAUUGUAAAAGGAUUUGUUGCUUGUGAGAAAUGAAUUCCUCUGUACUUAUCCCAACAGUAAUUGACUACUUCAACUGAUUGGAAAUAACAGACAACCAUUUGCGAAAUAUAGGUUUAUUACAUCUUGA